ensembl:lncRNA
UAUUGGGUACACACUUUAGGUUACACAGCCUAACACUGCUGCCUCCAUCAGGACAUACCCUCCCUUAUGGUGAUGGAACAAUGGGCAGAAGGAAAGGGAAGCAGUGUGUUGUAGGAGAGAGUUUUCCAGCCUCUUGGUUUACCCAGCUGGCCUUUGAAGUGAUGACAUCUUGGGAUUAUAGCCAAAGAAAGAAAAAUUGUUUGUCAGAGGAGUGGUUGUGACUGGCCUUGUAGGAAGCAGAUGACUGAAGGACCAUCCUCUUUCUCAGUUGCCUGUUCAUUGUGGCAUUAGUUGGCAGUGACUCAUCCGUCAUGUCUUUAGCAACCAGCCAGUCAGAUCUCAGGUAUGAGAGGAACCCUGAUUCUGUGAGAGACAGAAUUAAAAUACGGC